ensembl:rRNA 5S_rRNA 5S ribosomal RNA
GACUAUGGCCAUGCCAUCCUGAACGUGCCCAAUCUCAUCUGAUCUUGGAAGCUAACCAGAGUCGGACCUGGUUAGUACUUGGAUGGGAGUCCACCUAGAAAUUCCAGGUGUUGUAGACA